rnacentral:rRNA from 1 species
UACAGAGGGUGCGAGCGUUGUCCGGAAUCACUGGGCGUAAAGGGCGCGUAGGCGGCCUGGUAAGUCGGGGGUGAAACGCUGGAGCUCAACUCCAGCACUGCCUUCGAGACUGUCAGGCUUGAGCACGGUAGAGGCUGGUGGAAUUCCCGGUGUAGCGGUGGAAUGCGUAGAGAUCGGGAAGAACAUCGGUGGCGAAGGCGGCCAGCUGGGCCGUUGCUGACGCUGAGGCGCGACAGCGUGGGGAGCAAACAGG